rnacentral:rRNA from 1 species
GACAGAGGAUGCAAGCGUUAUCCGGAAUGAUUGGGCGUAAAGCGUUCUGUAGGUGGCUUUUAAGUCCGCCGUCAAAUCCCAGGGCUCAACCCUGGACAGGCGGUGGAAACUACCAAGCUGGAGUACGGUAGGGGCAGAGGGAAUUUCCGGUGGAGCGGUGAAAUGCGUAGAGAUCGGAAAGAACACCAACGGCGAAGCAACUCUGCUGGGCCGACACUGACACUGAGAGACGAAAGCUAGGGGAGCGAAUGGG